rnacentral:rRNA from 1 species
UUCGGUCGGACCAGUGCAUGCGUAGUGGCGGACGGGUGAGUAACGCGUGGGUAACCUGCCUUACACAGGGGGAUAACACUUAGAAAUAGGUGCUAAUACCGCAUGAGCGCACAGGACCGCAUGGUCGAGUGUGAAAAACUGAGGUGGUGUAAGAUGGACCCGCGUCUGAUUAGCUAGUUGGUGAGGUAACGGCCCACCAAGGCGACGAUCAGUAGCCGGCCUGAGAGGGUGGACGGCCACAUUGGGACUGAGACACGGCCCAAACUCCUACGGGAGGCAGCAGUGGGGGAUAUUGGACAAUGGGGGGAACCCUGAUCCAGCGACGCCGCGUGAGUGAAGAAGUAUCUCGGUAUGUAAAGCUCUAUCAGCAGGGAAGAAGAAAUGACGGUACCUGAGUAAGAAGCCCCGGCUAACUACGUGCCAGCAGCCGCGGUAAUACGUAGGGGGCAAGCGUUAUCCGGAAUUACUGGGUGUAAAGGGAGCGUAGACGGUGAUGUAAGUCUGGAGUGAAAGGCGGGGGCCCAACCCCCGGACUGCUCUGGAAACUAUGUGACUGGAGUGCAGGAGAGGUGAGCGGAAUUCCUAGUGCAGCGGUGAAAUGCGUAGAUAUUAGGAGGAACACCAGUGGCGAAGGCGGCUCACUGGACUGUAACUGACGUUGAGGCUCGAAAGCGUGGGGAGCAAACAGGAUUAGAUACCCUGGUAGUCCACGCCGUAAACGAUGAUCACUAGGUGUGGGUGGGUAU